GAUGAACGCUGGCGGCAUGCCUAAUACAUGCAAGUCGAACGGUCCUUCACAGAGAAAUCUAAUCAUAGAUUCUUUUGUGAAGGAUAGUGGCGGACGGGGUGAGGAAUACUUUGGAACCUACCCUUUAGUGAGGAAUAACUCUUUGAAAAAGAGCUAAUACCGCAUGUGCAACUUCGGUUGUAAAGUCUUCGGACGCUAAAGGAGGGGCCUGAGUCUGAUUAGUUAGUUGGUGGGGUAAUGGACCUACCAAGACAACGAUCAGUAGCUGGUUGAGAGGAUGAUCAGCCACACUGGAACUGAGACACGGUCCAGACUCCUACGGGAGGCAGCAGUAGGGAAUAUU
rnacentral:rRNA from 1 species